rnacentral:rRNA from 1 species
CCUACGGGUGGCAGCAGUGAGGAAUAUUGGUCAAUGGACGAGAGGCUGAACCAGCCAAGUAGCGUGAAGGAUGACUGCCCUAUGGGUUGUAAACCUCUUUUAUAUGGGAAUAAAACAGGCCAUGCAUACACUCUUGUAUGUACCAUAUGAAUAAGGAUCGGCUAACUCCGUGCCAGCAGCCGCGGUAAUACGGAGGGUCCGAGCGUUAUCCGGAUUUAUUGGGUUUAAAGGGAGCGUAGGUGGGUUGUUAAGUGUGUUGUGAAAGUUUGUGGCUCAACCGUGAGAGUGCAGUUGAAACUGGCAGUCUUGAGUACAGGAGAGGUGGGCGGAAUUCGUGGUGUAGCGGUGAAAUGCUUAGAUAUCACGAAGAACCCCGAUUGCGAAGGCAGCUCGCUGGACUGCAACUGACACUGAUGCUCGAAAGUGUGGGUAUCGAACAGGAUUAGAUACCCGAGUAGUC